GAUGAAGAACGUAGUGAAAUGCGAUAAGUAGUGUGAAUUGCAGAAUUCAGUGAAUCAUCGAAUCUUUGAACGCACAUUGCGCCCCUUGGUAUCCCGAGGGGCAUGCCUGUUCGAGCGUCAUUUCACCACUCAAGCCUGGCUUGGUGUUGGGCGACGUCCCCUUUGGGGACGCGCCUCGAAACGCUCGGCGGCGUGGCACCGGCUUUAAGCGUAGCAGAAUCUUUCGCUUUGGAAGUCGGGGCCCCGUCUGCCGGAAGACCUACUCGCAAGGUUGACCUCGGAUCAGGCAGGAAUACCCGCUGAACUUAAGCAUAUCAAUAAGCGGAGGA
rnacentral:misc_RNA from 1 species